GACGAACGCUGGCGGCGUGCCUAAUACAUGCAAGUAGAACGCUGAAGAGAGGAGCUUGCUCUUCUUGGAUGAGUUGCGAACGGGUGAGUAACGCGUAGGUAACCUGCCUUGUAGCGGGGGAUAACUAUUGGAAACGAUAGCUAAUACCGCAUAACAAUGGAUGACACAUGUCAUUUAUUUGAAAGGGGCAAUUGCUCCACUACAAGAUGGACCUGCGUUGUAUUAGCUAGUAGGUGAGGUAAUGGCUCACCUAGGCGACGAUACAUAGCCGACCUGAGAGGGUGAUCGGCCACACUGGGACUGAGACACGGCCCAGACUCCUACGGGAGGCAGCAGUAGGGAAUCUUCGGCAAGGGGGGCAACCCUGACCGAGCAACGCCGCGUGAGUGAAGAAGAUUUUCGGAUCGUAAAGCUCUGUUGUAAGUCAAGAACGGGUGUGAGAGUGGAAAGUUCACACUGUGACGGUAGCUUACCAGAAAGGGACGGCUAACUACGUG
rnacentral:rRNA from 1 species